rnacentral:rRNA from 1 species
AGCUGAGAAGCGGGUCCGUGAGGGCACGUGGAGCGGUAUCGAGUGAGAAUGCAGGCAUGAGUAGCGAGAGAGGGGUGAGAAACCCCUCCGCCGAAAGCCCAAGGGUUCCUGGGGAAGGCUAAUCCCCCCAGGGUGAGUCGGGAGCUAACACGAGGCCGAAAGGCGUAGUGGAUGCACAACUGGUUGAUAUUCCAGUACCACCGUGACCGCGCCAGGUCCAAGAGUGGCAACGUUG